rnacentral:rRNA from 1 species
AUGGAAAACUACUUCUUAUCUCUGAUUUUAACAAAGAAUUGCAAAGAAAUGAAGAGGGCAAAAACUGCUCAACAAGAAGGAUUGUUGUCACCUAGUGCGGGGUUUGAGAAAAAGAGGGCAAGUAAGCAAAAAGUAAAACUUACAGAUGAAGCUGGAUGUGUGAUAUCCAGUCAGGCUAGUUUAGACAGAAAAAUGGAAGAGCUUAGGGAAAAUAUGUUCAUUAAGAAAAAGCUAGAAGAGGAAAGAAAAGAAAAUACUGGAGAGUUGGAUAAGCUAGAUUUUGAGCAGAAAUAUGACGAUUUGGAACUCAAGAGAUGUUAUACAAAGACAGAGGAGGCUUGUUCAGAAAAUCCUGAGAAGGAAAAGGCUACUGGUCCUACAACUGAAGUGGAAGUUGUGCAUUGGAAAGAUGAACUGAUUGAACCAAAGAAAAACAGGAAAGGGGACAAAAAUAAGGGUAACACUGUAGAGGAGAGGAGGCCAAGCGACAGGACAGAUACUGAUCAUAACAUGAUGGACAAGACCAUGGAGAGAGCGAGACUCAAGAACUUGGGAGGAUUGCAAGGUACACUGGAAUACGUGUCGGCGUGCCCUCGAUACGUUCAGAGUUUAGCGCUGAGACUCUCACACUGCAAGUUUGCCGCUUAUCGAUCGCAUGUAAGUUUGAGCAUCUUGGCGGCAUUGAGGCAUAUGACGUUCACCCUUGGCCUUCAGUUCCCAUGA